UCCCCGUCAAUUCAUUUGAGUUUCACUCUUGCGAGCGUACUCCCCAGGUGGAACACUUAACGCUUUCGCUUAGCCCGCUGACUGUGUAUCGCCAACAGCGAGUGUUCAUCGUUUAGGGCGUGGACUACCAGGGUAUCUAAUCCUGUUUGAUCCCCACGCUUUCGUGCCUCAGCGUCAAUAAGACCAUAGUAAGCUGCCUUCGCAAUCGGUGUUCUGAGACAUAUCUAUGCAUUUCACCGCUACUUGUCUCAUUCCGCCUACCUCUAGUCCAUUCAAGCCCAUCAGUAUCAAGGGCACUGCGAUAGUUGAGCUACCGUCUUUCACCCCUGACUUAACAGGCCGCCUACGCACCCUUUAAACCCAAUAAAUCCGGAUAACGCUUGGAUCCUCCGUAUUACCGCGGCUGCUGGCACGGAGUUAGCCGAUCCUUAUUCCUUCGGUACAUUCAGCUAUUUACACGUAAAUAGGUUUAUUCCCGAAUAAAAGCAGUUUACAACCCAUAGGGCAGUCUUCCUGCACGCGGCAUGGCUGGUUCAGAGUUGCCUCCAUUGACCAAUAUUCCUUACUGCUGCCUCCCGUAGGAGUCUGGUCCGUGUCUCAGUACCAGUGUGGGGGGCCAUCCUCUCAGAUCCCCUAGUCAUCGUCGCCUUGGUGGGCCGUUACCCCGCCAACUAGCUAAUGACACGCAUGCCCAUCUCCAUCCCAUAAAUGUUUGAUCAUUGGAUAAUGCCAUCCUGUGAUUUUAUGCGGUAUUAAUCCGGAUUUCUCCGGGCUAUCCCCCAGAUGAAGGUAGGUUGCAUACGCGUUACGCACCCGUGCGCCGGUCUCAAAGAAGCAAGCCUCUUCUACCCCUCGACUUGCAUGUAUUAGGCCUGCCGCUAGCGUUCAUCCUGAGCCAGAAUCAAACUCU
rnacentral:rRNA from 1 species